rnacentral:rRNA from 1 species
GACAGAGGUGCCAAGCGUUAGGCGGAAUCACUGGGCUUAAAGCGUGUGUAGGCGGGUCGUUAAGUACCUUGUGAAAUCCCCCGGCUCAACCGGGGAACGGCUGGGUAUACUGGCGAUCUUGAGCUACCUAGGGCAGUCGGAACAAGUGGUGGAGCGGUGAAAUGCGUAGAGUAUCACUUGGAACGCCAAUGGUGAAAACAGACUGCUGGGGGUAUGCUGGACGCUGGAGACACGAAAGCCCAGGGGAGCAAACGGG